rnacentral:rRNA from 1 species
CCACACGACCGUACCGCAAACCGACACUGGUGCGCGAGAUGAGUAUUCUAAGGCGCUUGAGAGAACUCAGGAGAAGGAACUCGGCAAAUUGACACCGUAACUUCGGAAGAAGGUGUGCCUUUAGUAGGUGAAGUCCCUCGCGGAUGGAGCCCAAUGAGGUUGCAAAAAAUCGGUGGCUGCGACUGUUUAUUAAAAACACAGCACUCUGCAAACACGAAAGUGGACGUAUAGGGUGUGACGCCUGCCCGGUGCUGGAAGAUUAAAUGAUGGGGUGCAAGCUCUUGAUUGAAGUCCCAGUAAACGGCGGCCGUAACUAUAGCGGUCCUAAGGUAGCGAAAUUCCUUGUCGGGUAAGUUCCGACCUGCACGAAUGGCGUAACGAUGGCCACACUGUCUCCUCCUGAGACUCAGCGAAGUUGAAAUGUUUGUGAUGAUGCAAUCUCCCCGCGGAAAGACGGAAAGACCCCAUGAACCUUUACUGUAGCUUUGUAUUGGACUUUGAACAGAUCUGUGUAGGAUAGGUGGGAGGCUUUGAAGCAGGGUCGCUAGAUCUUGUGGAGCCAACGUUGAAAUACCACCCUGGUGUGUUUGAGGUUCUAACCUAGGCCCGUAAUCCGGGUUGGGGACAGUGCAUGGUAGGCAGUUUGACUGGGGCGGUCUCCUCCCAAAGUGUAACGGAGGAGUUCGAAGGUACGCUAGUUACGGUCGGACAUCGUGACGAUAGUGCAAUGGCCUAAGCGUGCUUAACUGCGAGACUGACAAGUCGAGCAGAUGCGAAAGCAGGACAUAGUGAUCCGGUGGUUCUGUAUGGAAGGGCCAUCGCUCAACGGAUAAAAGGUACUCUGGGGAUAACAGGCUGAUACCGCCCAAGAGUUCAUAUCGACGGCGGUGUUUGGCACCUCGAUGUCGGCUCAUCUCAUCCUGGGGCUGUAGCCGGUCCCAAGGGUAUGGCUGUUCGCCAUUUAAAGAGGUACGUGAGCUGGGUUUAAAACGUCGUGAGACAGUUUGGUCCCUAUCUUCCGUGGGCGCUGCAGAUUUGAGGAAGCCUGCUCCUAGUACGAGAGGACCGGAGUGGACGCACCUCUGGUGUAUCGGUUGUCACGCCAGUGGCAUUGCCGAGUAGCUAUGUGCGGAAGAGAUAACCGCUGAAAGCAUCUAAGCGGGAAACUCGUUUCAAGAUGAGAUCUGCCGGGGCCUUGAGCCCCCUGAAGAGUCGUUCAAGACCAGGACGUUGAUAGGUCGGGUGUGGAAGCGCAGUAAUGCGUUAAGCUAACCGAUACUAAUUGCUCGUGCGGCUUGACCCU